rnacentral:rRNA from 1 species
AUUGAACGCUAGCGGGAUGCCUUACACAUGCAAGUCGAACGGAGUGGCGAACGGGUGAGUAAUGUAUCGGAACGUGCCCAGUAGCGGGGGAUAACUACGCGAAAGCGUAGCUAAUACCGCAUACUAUUUGAGCGGCCGAUAUCGGGUUAGCUAGUUGGGGGGGUAACGGCUCACCAAGGCGACGAUCCGUAGCUGGUUUGAGAGGACGACCAGCCACACUGGAAAUGAGAAACGGCCCCGACUCCUACGGGCGUGAGCAGGGGGGAAUUUUGGACAAUGGGGGAAACCCUGAUGCAGCCAUCCCGCGUGUAGGAAGAAGGCCUUCGGGUUGUAAAGCACUUUAGGCAGGAAAGCGGUACCUGCAGAAUAAGCACCGGCUAACUACGUGCCAGCAGUCGCGGUAAUUC